AGAGUUUGAUCCUGGCUCAGGAUGAACGCUAGCUACAGGCUUAACACAUGCAAGUCGAGGGGCAGCAUGGAAGAAGCUUGCUUCUUCUGAUGGCGACCGGCGCACGGGUGCGUAACGCGUAUCAAACCUGCCUCAUACUCGGGGAUAGCCUUGCGAAAGUAAGAUUAAUACCCGAUGUUGUUAUGUUGCCGCAUGGUGAUAUAACCAAAGAUUUAUCGGUAUGAGAUGGUGAUGCGUCCGAUUAGGUAGUAGGCGGGGUAACGGCCCACCUAGCCUUCGAUCGGUAGGGGUUCUGAGAGGAAGGUCCCCCACACUGGAACUGAGACACGGUCCAGACUCCUACGGGAGGCAGCAGUGAGGAAUAUUGGUCAAUGGACGGAAGUCUGAACCAGCCAAGUAGCGUGCAGGAUGACGGCCCUAUGGGUUGUAAACUGCUUUUGUAUGGGGAUAAAGUUAGGGACGUGUCCCUAUUUGCAGGUACCAUACGAAUAAGGACCGGCUAAUUCCGUGCCAGCAGCCGCGGUAAUACGGAAGGUCCAGGCGUUAUCCGGAUUUAUUGGGUUUAAAGGGAGCGUAGGCUGGAGAUUAAGUGUGUUGUGAAAUGUAGACGCUCAACGUCUGAAUUGCAGCGCAUACUGGUUUCCUUGAGUACGCACAACGUUGGCGGAAUUCGUCGUGUAGCGGUGAAAUGCUUAGAUAUGACGAAGAACUCCGAUUGCGAAGGCAGCUGACGGGAGCGCAACUGACGCUUAAGCUCGAAGGUGCGGGUAUCGAACAGGAUUAGAUACCCUGGUAGUCCGCACAGUAAACGAUGGAUGCCCGCUGUUGGUACCUGGUAUCAGCGGCUAAGCGAAAGCAUUAAGCAUCCCACCUGGGGAGUACGCCGGCAACGGUGAAACUCAAAGGAAUUGACGGGGGCCCG
rnacentral:rRNA from 1 species